rnacentral:lncRNA from 1 species
AGACUGUCAGCAAUUUAUCUGUCCCCUCCAAUUUGUUCCCCAAAGCCACAUCAUACCUUAGCACCUUCUUUUCCUGCAGCACCUGGGAGGCCUUGUUCACCUGGUGGACCAGGAGGACCUGGAUGACCUCUUUCACCAAUUGGGCCUGUCUCACCAGUAGGACCCUGAGCACAAAAAUAAAACUUCAGUCAUCUCAAGAGAACUCUGCCGCCUUGACUUCUGUAAACCACCAACUUCAUAAUCACAUGAGGAAAGCACACAAAAAAGGAAGUGGAAAGUUCCAAUCUCUCCGAGGUGGUACAGCAGUAAAAAUUCCGGUAAAUUUUACAGAUUUCUCUAGGUGAACUUGAUUAGGU